rnacentral:misc_RNA from 1 species
AACGCACGAGACCUGCGGACCUGCGGAAGGAUCAUUAUUGAAUCAAUGGAUUUGAGCUGUUGCUGGCUUCUCAAGCAUAUGUGCACGCUCAUUUCCUUCUUUCUCUACAACCCUCCAUGUGCACUCGUGUAGUUCCACAAAACAUGUUUCAAACCUGCUUGUUGGUUUGGAAUUGAGAAAUUGCGGUUAUUGUCAUUCCUGCUUUUCUUGAUUUUGGUUCUACGUUUUUGUCUUUAUAAA